UACGUAGGGGGCAAGCGUUGUCCGGAUUUAUUGGGCGUAAAGAGCGUGUAGGCGGCCAUGCAGGUCAGCUGUGAAAACUCGAGGCUCACCUCGAGACGUCGGUUGAAACCGUAUGGCUAGAGUCCGGAAGAGGAGAGUGGAAUUCCCGGUGUAGCGGUGAAAUGCGCAGAUAUCGGGAAGAACACCCAUGGCGAAGGCAGCUCUCUGGGACGGUACUGACGCUGAGACGCGAAAGCGUGGGGAGCAACAGG
rnacentral:rRNA from 1 species